AAGAAUCGAAUUCUGAUUGACUAAAUGGACCAACAAAUCACAAGAUCAAAAAACCAAAAAAAAAAACAGAGAAAGAAUUAAAAUAAAUAAGUCUAUCUAAAAGCAAGUCAUCUAAAACCAAACCAUUUACCUUAAUUCAUAAACAAAACGUGAUUUUACUAUUGAUAGGGUGGUGUGUUUGUGGUUACUAAAUAUUGACGUGGUUUAUUAAAAUCAAUGUUUAAAAACUUGUAAAUGUUUUUAUUAUAAAUUAGAAAAUGAUUAUAAUUUGAUUAGUAUUUGAAA
rnacentral:lncRNA from 1 species